GGUAGUAUGGCUGAUUUAAGCGGUAGUCUGUAAAACUACACACAGGAUACCCCCUUGCUACCA
rnacentral:tRNA from 1 species